AGAGUGUUUAAAGCAGGCUAAAGCUUGGAUAGAUUAGCAUGGAAUAACGAAAUAGGACGUUUGAUCUUAUUUUGUUGGUUUCUAAGAUCGACGUAAUGGUUAAUAGGGAUAGUUGGGGGCAUUAGUAUUCAAUUGUCAGAGGUGAAAUUCUUGGAUUUAUUGGAGACUAACUACUGCGAAAGCAUUUGCCAAGGAUGUUUUCAUUAAUCAAGAACGAAAGUUAGGGGAUCGAAGACGAUCAGAUACCGUCGUAGUCUUAACCAUAAACUAUGCCGACUAGGGAUCGGACGGUGUUAGUAUUUUGACCCGUUCGGCGCCUUACGGGAAAC
rnacentral:rRNA from 2 species